GAAUACAACAAUAAGACGAGAAGACCCUAUGGAGCUUUAAUUAACCGACCCAAAGAGACCCAUUAAUUUCAACCGACAGGAACAACAAACCUCUGUAUGGGCCGACAAUUUAGGUUGGGGUGACCUCGGAGAACAGAACAACCUCCGAGUGAUUUAAAUCAAGACUAACCAGUCGAAAGUAUUACAUCACUUAUUGAUCCAAAAUUUGAUCAACGGAACAAGUUACCC
rnacentral:rRNA from 1 species